rnacentral:rRNA from 1 species
GACGAACGCUGGCGGCGUGCUUAACACAUGCAAGUCACGGGGGCGUCGCGAAGGGCAACCGGCGAACGGGUGCGUAACACGUGAGCAACCUGCCGAUCUGAGGGGGAGUAGCCGGCCCAACGGCCGGGUAAUACCGCAUACGCUUGUGUGGCCUCAUGGCUAGACAAGGAAACCUCCGGGGCAGAUCGAGGGGGCUCGCGGGCCUAUCAGCUAGUUGGCGGUGUAAUGGACCACCAAGGCGACGACGGGUAGCUGGUCUGAGAGGAUGG